rnacentral:rRNA from 2 species
CAAAUUUGAAAGCUGGCGUCUUCGGCGUCCGCAUUGUAAUCUCGAGAAGUGUUUUCCGCGUUGGACCAUGUACAAGUUCCUUGGAACAGGACGUCAUAGAGGGUGAGAAUCCCGUACUUGACAUGGAUGCCCAACGCUUUGUGAUACGCUCUCCACGAGUCGAGUUGUUUGGGAAUGCAGCUCAAAAUGGGUGGUAAAUUCCAUCUAAAGCUAAAUAUUGGGGAGAGACCGAUAGCGAACAAGUACCGUGAGGGAAAGAUGAAAAGCACUUUGGAAAGAGAGUUAAACAGUACGUGAAAUUGUUGAAAGGGAAGCGCUUGAAGUCAGACAUGCUGCUGAGACUCAACCUUGGUUUUCCUUGGUGUACUUCUCAGUUGGCAGGCCAGCAUCAGUUUUGGCUGUUGGAUAAGGGUAGGAGGAAUGUGGCAUCCUCGGAUGUGUUAUAGCCUCUUACUGGAUACAAC